GCCUGAGGUUGCUGCUUAGUUCUGAGAAAGCCUCAGCGAGGCCGAUGGAGAGCCCUUGAGCUGAGGUUGCCCAUUAGACAAAUUCUGCAUCAGAUGAGGGAAGGAAUCAUAAUUGGCUAACAAGAGGAGAUACAUUUGACUAUGUUAAGAGAACUGGAGGUGCUGAUCAGAAACCCACAAAUAUCUGCCAGGCUGGCAACAGACCCUAAAGAGAGAGAUUAACAAAAAACAGUUGAGGAGCAAGCUAAAUUCCUACAGGCAAUAGUGGGACCAGAGCUCAUAGGCUGGCACCAAUAGUACAGUUUGGUCCCAAGGAGAAGCAGCAAGGCCAUGCAGGGAAUCACAUAAACAGGUCAGAUUUGUUUGAAGCAGUUUGACAGAGGAACAGACUAUAAAUUGUGGAAACCUGCCCACCUUUGUUUAUUCUUUGGCUGUGGAGGAACCAAGGAUAAAUAACUUGUAUACAAGCUCCUGGGAAUAAAGAAAAUUCUAACUAGCCUGAGACAUGGUCCUGACUUCUGCCAACAGAAACCUCCAGCAAUUGCUGGCUUAGGUAAAAAACAAAAACAAACAAACAAAAAACAAAACAAUACAAAAACCUCCUUUAAAGAUGAGUGUCCCAAAAGGAACUGAUAGAGGAUCUAAAAAUUAUGAUAAAGUAUUUUGCCCAAAUAAUAAUAAUAAAAAACUUAAAGCAAUCAUCUUGGUGAAAGAACACAAAAAAAUAGAACUCAAGGCGACAGGAGGAUCUGAGACAUGAUCUAUAGAACACAACAAAAAACUAAAUGGCAGAGAAAAUCCAUCACAGCAAAGAAGUUGAAACUGAAAGGAAGGCAAAUACGUUCAAAAGCUGAUUUUAAAAUAAAAUAAAAUAUUUAAACAGUUUUAAAAGGAAGCACAAAUGCACAAAGUAAGAAAUGAUUGAUAAGAAGUAGCACCAAAGGCAUAGAGGAAAUUUAAAUAAAUUACCUAGCUCAGUUUUAUACAAACUUGGAAACAUAAAUGAAAUGGAAAGUAUACUAGACAAUAUACUAGAAAUAUUAAACAGACCAGUUCCUAUAAAUGAAAUAAGAAAGCUAUUAAUAUCUUCCCUCUCCCACACACCAAAGGCAUAAAAUCCAGUUUCAGAAAUUCUACUACACCUUUACAGAACAGAAUUAAACUCAUUUAAACUCUUCCAGAGCGUGGGCGGAGUGGUGACGGUGGAAGGAAAGAAAACUACCAAACUCUUGGGAUAAUCUUUAUAUGAAACUGUACAUCAAAACCUGAUAAAGAUUGCACAGAAACAUAAAACUACAGAUGAAUUCCAUGUACUAAUAUGAUGCAAAAGUCCUAAAUAAAUUAAAACUAUAAACCAUUCUGACAAAGUGGGGUUUAUUCUAGGAAUAAAAAGAUGAUCCUUAGGAAACAUACUACCAUAUUUCACUAUAUUUAAGGAGGAAAGAAGACUAUCAGGUUUCUCCAUAGGUACUGAAGAAAGGCACUUUACAUUUUAGAAUUGCUUUUUUAAAAAAGGAAAAAAGAGAAGAGUCCA
rnacentral:lncRNA from 1 species